ACAAAAAUGUCUGAAGUCGUCGAGAAUUCUCUUACAAAAUUGGCUCACGAUUACUUCCGAACGCUCUCGCCGUUGGCAGAAAAGAUCAAUGCCGACAUUGAGGAAGUAAUUGUCGAGCUGCAGGACCACUGGACCUCCCUGAAACCCAAAGAAAAGGAGAAAAUUAUCGAUGACGCCUUACUGAAGCAAGAAAUCACCCUGAAAUACUUCAAUAAUUUCGAUUCGCGUUCCGAAUCCACGAAUUCCCUCAACUCCUCGGGCUACCAAUUCGACGGAAAGAAUCUCAUCACUUACUUCAAGCAAAAAUCGGGCAGAAAACUCGUAAAGGACGAAGCCAUUGGGAAAUUCCGUGACGAACAUUCAGCGCCAUUUUCGACAAGUACACGUUCACAGCUAAAUUUGCGUGUUUGCGAGCUCGAUCCGGAGGAAGAAGAAGGUCCCUCAGUCGAUUACAACAAAAUACUCAGUCAAAAACUCGCCCAGGAGGCAGUCAAACGUGCAGCUAUCAAAUCUCCGCUCAACAAAGCAAAUGCAGCCGCCGCCAAAGAUAAUAAUUCCAUCGGGAGUGGCGGAAAAAGUGCCGUUAUCGAACAAAUCGACUCGAAUAUCUCGUACAACAAAAUUCGAAACACGGACGAGCAAGUUGCCGAUGACGACGGAAAUUUCAUCAGCAAAUUCAUAAAUCGCCUUAGUGUCACACAAAAUCCCGCAAAUAAUGGCAACAAUAUGGACGAACACGAAAAUCUCGUGAGUGGCAUCAAUUUGUCCUUUUCGACGCAACACUCGGAAGAGUCAGAGGAAGAGGGGUUGCAUCACACGGAGAAAAGUUUGGAGUUUAAGAGUCUCCUUGACGACAAAGACGGCUUCGAUUUCUUGAAUAACUGGUAAUUUCGAUACCAGAAGCAACUUUUUUUUUACUCAAAAGUUCCUAAGGACUUUCUUUAAAAAUAUUUUUAAAUGUUCAGUGUUAAGCAGCUCAUUACUAAAAUUAAUGAAAAAAAUCAAUACAAAGGUGCCAUUUUUGCCGUAAGAAUAUGAAACUGAAUUAUUCCAGGAGAAUCGAAAAUGCCUGAAACAAGUAUUUAUGUAGGAUAGAAUAACCGAGUAUUUAAAAAAUAACACGUAAAAAUAUACUUAUACGUAUCAAAAACUGUAGAACUGAGACUUUUGUAGAUCCAAUGCAAUA